GAAACAGGAAGAACCAAGUGUUUUCAGAGUGCCGAGUGAGAGAGACGGAGAAAAAAAAAAAAAAAAAAAAAAAAAAAGGAGAGAAAAGCAAAGAGCGCCAUGGAGUACAGAUGUGUAUAGUGCGGCGGUCGCAUGACGACUCUGUUCGUCCAUUACUCUCCUGGCAACAUUCGUCUCAUGAAAUGGUAAUUUCAAGGCAGUUGCAGACGAGUACAUCGAAUGCGAACCCAUAAUUAUUCCGAUUGAUUCGAUUCUGCACAAGACCAAAGCUUACACACAUUUACUCUAUAAUGUCAUCGACCCACAAGCUCCAUCUUUCCAGAGUUUAAUGUGGAAGUCGACUUUCGGGUUUCUUCUGUUGGAUGCUUGUAUCCAUUACCAUGCUUGUCAGGAUUUUGUUUUUGGAAAUUUGAAUUUUGAUUCUUUUUGCAAAAUAUGUGUUUUUAUAUGCAUUGGGUGCCUUGGCAAUGUGUAUAGGUAGGAGUCUCUUCCUGGAAGGAAGCAAGGAAGAAUGGGGCUUGUCCAUGAGCUUCGCUUUGUUACUUUGGAGAUUUCAAAAGAUGCUGAUGGAUGUUGUCUUUGGAAAUAUCAUGUUUCUUUCAACCUUUGUACUCGCUAUGAGGAUUCUUUUCAGCACAUUCCCCAGACCGCUCAGGUAUAAAGAGCUUCUGCUGGCAAUAUUUAUUUCAAGUUAAUUCAAGAUUUUACUUAUUGCAAUGAUGGGAUGGGAAUGUCCUGUGAUUUUGAUCUAACACUGGCACUCAAAGUGAUAACUCGGUCACCUAUGAGUAGAUGUAUAGCGGCCUGCUUCAGUGCUCAUGUGGUAAAGUUUUUGGUCACACAGAGGUGCUGGAGUUGGGAACUUUGAGAUCUUAAAUCAUUGUUUGUUGAAUUCUCUCCCUGCAUCGAAAUGCAGCAUUUCUUUUGACUCGUAUUCUCAUUUACUAAUCUUUUGAACAAAUAGAUCAAUACUUCCAGCAAAGGCGGUGGUGGUGUUGAGUGCUGUAAUAUGUGGUGUAAGUAUAUAAGAUGUGUAUGGUACUGUUAUGAAAUAGAGCAGUGCAUAUAUUUUUUUUUUCUACCUA